rnacentral:rRNA from 1 species
CAAUAGCGUAUAUUAAUGUUGUUGCAGUUAAAAAGCUCGUAGUUGGAUUUCGAAUGGGAGCGGUGGGUCGGGUCCGCAAGGGCUCGUUACCUGUUUCGUCUCCGGUUCUUUUUCGGGAUUUGUUUCUGGCGUGGCUGGCAUUGAGUUGUCGGUGGCGUCGGGCCCGUCGUUUACUGUGAACAAAUUAGAGUGUUCAAAGCAAGGUGUGUCUUGAAUACAUUAGCAUGGAAUAAUGAGAUAGGACUUUGGUGGUUUCGGUGAAAGCCGGAUAUUUUGUUGGUUUGCACGCCAAAGUAAUGAUUAAUAGGGAUAGUUGGGGGCACCUGUAUUGCGUUGUCAGAGGUGAAAUUCUUGGAUUUACGCAAGACAAACAGCUGCGAAAGCGUCUGCCAAGGAUGUUUUCAUUAA